GCGCGAGUGAGCACUCUCCCCGUGUGCCCCCUCUUCAGCUCCCUUGUGCGCCGCGUAGUGAUGACGGAGCCGGAAGAUGAUGUCAUCUUCCGGCUCCGGUAUCAGUGCAGUGCGCGAGGGAGCUGAAGAGGGAGCACACAGUGGAGAGUGCUCCACAGGCGUU